rfam:Papio anubis isolate 1X1155 chromosome 1, whole genome shotgun sequence.
GCAUGGGUGGUUCAGUGGUAGAAUUUUCACCUGCCAGGCGGGAGGCUCGGGUCCGAUUCCCGGCCCAUGCA